CAAUGACUGCAGUCCGCCCCACUACCACCAACGACUGCAGUCCGCCCCACCGCCACCAACGACUGCAGUCCGCCCCACCACCAACGACUGCAGUCCGCCCCACCACCACCAACGACUGCAGUCCGCCCCACCGCCACCAACGACUGCAGUCCGUCCCACCACCACCAAUGACUGCAGUGUUCACACCUCCAGGCAUGAUGCUCUUGACACUCAACAUCCAUCCAUGCUGCUGUGUGCAUCAACAGUUUCUUUUUAUUUUUUUGGCUGGUUAGUGUUGCACUGG
rnacentral:lncRNA from 1 species